UUUCCCCACAGGUAGUCCACA
rnacentral:piRNA from 1 species